rnacentral:rRNA from 1 species
UGGGAAUUUUGGACAAUGGGCGAAAGCCUGAUCCAGCAAUGCCGCGUGUGUGAAGAAGGCCUUCGGGUUGUAAAGCACUUUUGUCCGGAAAGAAAUCCUUGGCUCUAAUACAGUCGGGGGAUGACGGUACCGGAAGAAUAAGCACCGGCUAACUACGUGCCAGCAGCCGCGGUAAUACGUAGGGUGCAAGCGUUAAUCGGAAUUACUGGGCGUAAAGCGUGCGCAGGCGGUUUGCUAAGACCGAUGUGAAAUCCCCGGGCUCAACCUGGGAACUGCAUUGGUGACUGGCAGGCUAGAGUAUGGCAGAGGGGGGUAGAAUUCCACGUGUAGCAGUGAAAUGCGUAGAGAUGUGGAGGAAUACCGAUGGCGAAGGCAGCCCCCUGGGCCAAUACUGACGCUCAUGCACGAAAGCGUGGGGAGCAAACAGGAUUAGAUACCCUGGUAGUCCACGCCCUAAACGAUGUCAACUAGUUGUUGGGGAUUCAUUUCCUUAGUAACGUAGCUAACGCGUGAAGUUGACCGCCUGGGGAGUACGGUCGCAAGAUU